rnacentral:misc_RNA from 1 species
AAGUCGUAACAAGGUUUCCGUAGGUGAACCUGCGGAAGGAUCAUUCCAUCCACAAUAAACCCCAAACCGUUAACUUACCAGGGUGCUUCUGUCGGCAACGAUGGAGGUUGACCUGGGCCGUCACCUUUUGUGCCCUGACGCAAGUCCUAUAUUGCUAAUUGAACUUAUAACACCUCUCAGCGGUGGAUACCUCGGCUACCCUAACGAUGAAGAACGCAGCCUGUCUCUU